rnacentral:rRNA from 1 species
GAUGAACGCUAGCGGCAGGCUUAAUACAUGCAAGUCGUGGGGCAGCAGGGGUAGCAAUACCCGCUGGCGACCGGCAAACGGGUGCGGAACACGUACGCAACCUUCCUUUAACUGGAGAAUAGCCCCUCGAAGAGGGAUUAAUACUCCGUAACAUAUACAUGUGGCAUCACAAGUAUAUUAUAGCUCCGGCGGUUAAAGAUGGGCGUGCGCCUGAUUAGAUAGUUGGCGGGGUAACCGGCCCACCAAGUCUGCGAUCAGUAACUGGUGUGAGAGCACGACCAGUCACACGGGC